GGGGAUAUAGCUCAGUGGUAGAGUGCUUUCCUAGUGUGCAUGAAUCCCUAGGUUUGAUUCCCAGUACCCA
rnacentral:tRNA from 1 species